rnacentral:misc_RNA from 1 species
UCCGAGUUGACCCCGGCAGUCUCCUAUGAGUCCCCACCAUCACGUGCUGGCAACAUAGAACGAGGGUUGCGCUCGUUGCGGGACUUAACCCAACAUCUCACGACACGAGCUGACGACAACCAUGCACCACCUGUGCACGACCCUUGCGGACCCCCCAUCUCUGGAGGAUUUCCGUGCAUGUCAAGCCUAGGUAAGGUUCUUCGCGUUGCAUCGAAUUAAUCCACAUCAUCCACCGCUUGUGCGGGUCCCCGUCAAUUCCUUUGAGUUUCAGCCUUGCGGCCGUACUCCCCAGGCGGGGCGCUUAAUGCGUUAGCGCCGGCACCCAGGGGGUCGCUCCCCCCGACACCUAGCACCCAUCGUUUACGGCGUGGACUAC